GCCGGGUGCGGUGGCGCGCGCCUGUAGUCCCAGCUACUCGGGAGGCUGAGGCUGGAGGAUGGCUUGAGUCCAGGAGUUCUGGGCUGUCGUGCGCUAUGCCGAUCGGGUGUCCGCACUAAGUUCAGCAUCAAUAUGGUGACCUCCCGGGAGCGGGGGACCACCAGGUUGCCUAAAGACAAGUGAACCGGCCCAGGUCGGAAACAGAGCAGGUCAAAACUCCCGUGCUGAUCAGAGAAGAAUUCUAAAUACUGGCACAAAUAAACGAGGCAGCAUGGUACGUUUUAAGCUUUUA
ensembl:misc_RNA Metazoa_SRP Metazoan signal recognition particle RNA